rnacentral:tRNA from 1 species
GUUUUAAUAGUUUAAUNAAAAAACUUAGAUCUUGUAAAUCUAAAUUAACGUAAGUUUUAAAAAU